UUUUUUUUUUUUUUUUUUGUGUUUUUAGGCUAACCUUAAACGGUUACAACUUGCAUUUACUACUUGAGCUCGCACUGGAAUAGAAUUACACUUGUUAACUUUUUCUGCUUUCUUUUCACGAUAAAAGUUUGGAUAAGACCUAAUCUACUAGCUCUAAUCAUUUAAAAUUUAAAUUUGGACGCAUCUUCUUCAUUGUGCAUAAAUACUUAAAUUGAUAAAAUGAUGUGGUAAAUUUUGACCUACUAAGUAGAGUACGAAAAGUGUAAAAAGACUUUAACUAAACAAAGGAUGACUGAGUCUAUCUUUCAAAAGGAAAAAAAAAAGGAUAACUGAGUCUAUCCAUGUGUUUUUAUAUUUUUGUGGUGGCCAGUACUAUGCUCGCAAGUCUGAAGCAAUAAUGAACUUACGAAACAAUCUCAAUAAUUCAGUGUGGUGACUAAAAAAAAAAAAAAUUCAGUGUGGGUGGGAUUGAAAAGGAACUUACAACCAUAGUCAUCCAUGGUAGAUGGGUAGACGCACUUUAUUAGAUACAUUUUAGAAUUUGUUUUGGUGAUUUUAGGCUAAUCUAGCUAAUUUUUAACUUUGUUCCUAAUUUUUAUUGAGCAGAGAUUUAGAAAGACGUAAAGGGUUAAGCACACAUUCUAAUAAAUUUUUUAUUUUUUAUUAUUUUUUAAACACUAUAAGUUUAAUCUACUCUUGCUCCUACUUUUUCUUUUUAAUUUUGCAAGCAAGAGAGGAGUGGAUCUUAAAAAAAAAUAGGGAAGGAGGCGAGGAAUUUGAACUCAAGACCUCUAAUUUUUGAAAUUUCAAUUUUAGCUAUUACAUGAAGACUUUCUUAGCACUCCUACUCUUACUCUAAUACAAAAGCCAUCCUUAUGAAUUGCAUAUAACUCUUGGUCUCUAAGUCGUAGGCUCAAUGCAAGUGUACGAGUGAUUAUAUUCAAUUUGGUUAUGGCAGUGAAGUUUCAUGUCUCCUCAAUCUUUCAUUGCUUGAGAGUUAUUAACUGACUAUCAAACAAUUAACAAAUAUUUUGUGGGAUGAUUUCUUUAGGUUCCUGAAUGUCUAAAAGGAAAAAUAAGUACCUGAAUUGACCACCUAAGAUGGCAUUUGAUUCUAUAAAGGGAAAAAAGAAAGUUCAAUUUCUAUACAAUGGAAAAUACUGCUGGAUGAGGUUAUUUGUUUGGUGAGGGUAGAGGAAUUCUAGUGGUUAUGUAAUUUAGAUAUGUUAAAUUAUGAUGUUAAAGGUUAAUUUUUACUUGAUCUAUGUAAUAAUUUUUAUCAAAUACAUUAGUCCGAUAGUAUAGACAAUUCAUUCGGAUAGAGUAUUACAGUUCAUGGAACAAGUAUGAUCAAGAAAGCAUUAAAUCCCACCAUCCUUAACCAAUUGGCUAUAGAUUCACUCAAUUUUCUAUAUAGCUUUAAUCAAAUUUCUUGACAAAUUCAAGAGAAAGAAGGAUGAUGACAAAUGAAAUAUGAAGGAAGCUACUCGUGAAACAAGAGAGCACUACCUUUAUCAUUAGUUGUCAUGAUUUUUCCUCAUUUACGAAAAAAGAGAAAAAAAAAAAGAACUUCCUACUAUACUUAGGCAUACCUGUAUCUCUGCCCACGUGAAAAUCUUCUAAAGGCCUAACCCAAACCAUCAUUCAUUUUCACAGUUCUUUGAUUUCCUCAACCUUCUAGUAUACUUCGCCUUAACUUCUCAGCAUUUCCGAUCUUUAAUUUCACAAUUCUUUUUCUUAAAAAAGAAAGUAAUGUCCUUUUGUUUCCUUGUCUGUGGCAUCCUAGAAUAUUUGCAAGGCCAUUGCUAUUUAUUUAACUUAGUAUUGAAAUUUUGGACUAUACAUUUGCAAAUAAAUAACUUAGUAGUGAAAAUUUGGACUAUACAUUUGCAAAUAAAUAACAAUCUAAAAUACUAAUUCCAUCAUUGUAUGAUUGUUUUGCUAUUUUAUCCAUGAUUCUUCAAUGGCCAUUUUUUAUCUCAUAGGCUAAUUAUCCAAGCUGUAUUUUUAGGGCUGGCAUUGGAAUAGAAUUACACUCCUUGGUUGUUUGGUAACUGUUUCUGCUCUCUUUCAUCGAGUAGAGAGACUUGCAAAAGAGCAUUUGCCUAAAAGUAGGAUUUGAUCAAGAAAAAAUGGUGCAGAAAAGGAAGUGUAAAAUACUUGACUAAAGUAAAGCAUUGCACAAUGCAUAAAAAAGGAUGUACUACCCAAUUUUGAUUUGUUAAAAUUUGAUUUGUUAGAGAUUUGUCAGUUUGUAGUGAAAAAUACAAACAAAGGGUCACAAAACUAUUUUAGAGGCAACACUUAAGCUCCUUUAUUGGAUAGACAGCGUCAAAAUCUGUUUCAGAAACUUUCUGGCCUCUGAGAAGGAUUCGCGGAUGGGUCCACCUUCCCAACUGGGAGUCCAGUCGCGGAUCCACUAUGCUAAAAGAGCCUCACAAUGUCCCGGACGGAUAAACCUUUCUUAGAACCAAUUGGCUUCGCCGAUUGUGACCGGAGAAUCGCAAACUCCUUGGACUCAAUCGAAUUCGGCUAGAUUCAGAGCCAAAUCUAGAUCCACAAACGGAUCGUCAAGGAUCCAUUUGCGGAUCUUGUGUCUCGUUUUGUCCAAAGGUUCUGAGUUUCCUUGUUCCAACAAGUCACAUUUCUAUUUCAUUUCACAAUCUAUCCCAACAAUCCAUAUGUUCUCGUGUGGUUAAAAUUACAAAACUCAAGCUCACUUGAAUAGUUAGUCCAUGCAUUAGAAAUUUUAGUGCAGUCAUUCAUGGCGGAUGCAUCAAAUUAGAUGCAAUUUACCCUUUUUUUUGUGUUUUUAGGCUAAUCUGACUAACUUUUAACUUUGUCCUUGACUUUCAAAGAGCAGAGUUUUAGAAAGAGAGAAAAGAUUAUACACACCUUCUGAAAAAUCUUUUAUCAUGAUGCAAGACAUGCAAUCUCGGUGCAUUAAAAAUUCUUAGCGAAACAAGUUAGAUGCUAAAAUUACUUGUUUAUUGUUCAAUAGAAAAAGAAUACUUUAAUAGUGGAAGUUUUCCCUCUUAUUCUAUAGCUUAGAAUUUUGUCUCAAAAUCUUGCAAAUGAUUCUGAUAUUAUGCUUCAAGCAAACAACGUACGAUUGAGAUCUUCUCCGAGUCAGUUGCAUAUCUCAUCCAAAGUAUCAAAUUUGACAAAGAAUCACUUUAUUGCAGAGCAUAGUAAAUAAUCUGAAAAUUGGCUUCUAAAUUUUGAUAAACGCUUAUCCUCAAAACCUCACCCCAUCCCCAACCCCACCCCAAACAAAAAGGCAAAAGAUUGAUAGUCACAUAGAAUCGAUAAGAAAGGUAAAAAUAUAGUUAAACCCUUAAGCUCCUUUUGCUGGGAGGAAAUCCUAAACAAUUGUCAAUUUUAUUAAACAAGAUAGUUCUGGGUGAAAAACCCUUCAUUUGAUUUUGUUAGCAUAGUGUAAAAAGUUGAAUGCAUCCCUUAAAAAGAGCAGGGACCAGAUAAUUUGCAAUGAGGACUUUUCCACUUUGAAUUCAUUGUGCCAAAGUCGGAAGUUAGUUACAUCCUCUAAAAGAGGAUGGAUCCAUUGAUAAAUAGCACCUACUACAAACAUUUAGGUAGUAGUGUUUAUAAUUAACUAAUUAUUGCAUUAACAGGUUAGUGUCUACAUACAUGCGUCACUUUUAGAGUCUAAUUUUCUUGUGAGAUUGAUUUAAAAAUGUUAAGAUCCUUAAUUUGUUUUGUGUGUAUACAUGUUGUGUAAAAAUGAAAUGAAAUCCUUCCAAUCUACCGAAGAAAAGGUGACCGAUGAUAGUCUUGGAGAAAAGACAAAGCCCACGGGAGAAAAAAUAAUUAAUAGGGCCAGUAAUAAAUCCUAUCUUGCAAUUAUAAUAUUAUGCAAAAGAAAUGUAAGCACAAAGUGUAUAAUAUUUACAUGUAUACUACUACUCCACGUUUAGUACGCAGGAAGGGCCUGGAAAACAAAAGAUCUUUUUAGCUUGUCUAUUUCAUUCCAAGUUUGGUAUGGAUCAUUUAAUUGGGAAACCUUUUUGCCUUAAAUAUUCAUUUCAACCUUUUUCUUCAAAUCUCCAUUGCUCAAAAAAACAUAUGGAAGUUCUUUCCAAUUUCAUCUCAAAAUGUCCAAAAUAGUAGGAUGUCAAAUUUAUUUUUAUAAGUCUUUCUUAUGAUGUCAAAUAUUUUUAUAUGUCUUUUUUAUUAAUAUUUCCAAAAAAAACAUAUGGAAGUUCUUUCCAAUUUCAUCUCAAAAUGUCCAAAAUAGUAGGAUGUCAAAUUUAUUUUUAUAAGUCUUUUUUAUUGCAUCACCAUAUCUUUGGACAUUUGUCAACUUAAUUAAUAUUUGAAUGUUAUUUUUCAUAAUAAAUAAUAUUUCUAGUAUUUAAAUAAUUGUUUUUUACGAGCAAACAAGUGUUUUAAGAUACUUUAUUAUAUGAUGUUUGAACAAAUGUGUGAAAAUUUUUGAAUUUCAUUUCAAAAUGAAAACAUAAUAAAAAUUACAAUAUAUAUUACAUUUACUUUGAUUUAUGUAAUUUAUAUUCUACUAUGAUGCAAAAUUUUAACAUAAAAAUCUAUAUGCUAGAAUGAGUCAAGUAUUACAAUUAAAAAAUUUUAGGGUAAAAAACAAAAAAACCCCCUCCGAUAAACCUAAUACACAGAAAAGCCCCCUAUGGUUUCAAAAUAUACAACACGACACCUCAUGCUUUGAACUAAAUUGUAAAGGUGACGGAAUCCAUUAAAUUUAACGGAAAUGACUUGUUGGAACUUAAAAAAAAAUUUAUACCUAAUUUUUAUCAAAUAUACCUAUUCUAUCCCUUAACUCUCAAUUCUCUCUAUUUAGAGAAUAAAACAAAUGAUUCUUUUGAGCUGUCUUUUGCUUAAUUAUAUCAGGGCAUUUUGGUCCUUUUGUCCAUUUCCUUUAAGUUUAACGGAUUCUGUCACCUUUACAAUUUAGUUUAAAGUAUGAGGAGUCGUGUUGUAUAUUUUGAAACCAUGGGAGGCUUUUCUGUGUAUUAGGUUUAUCACAGGGAGCUUUUUUAUUUUUUAUCCAAAAUUUUAACAUCAAUUCUCAAUUAUUCUAAAGGAAAAAAGUGUCAAAAUUUGAUCUAAACAAACAAAUAACAAAAAAAGAAAUAAAAAGUAUUAUUUUUAUAAAUUAAUCAUGGGUAUUUAAGUUAAAAUUUUAUUAAUUGUAUUCCAUCUGACAUGUAAAUAUUGAUUAUAUCAGACACUGGAAAUGAAUCGACAUUUCACUGAGACUUGAUCACCAAACAUUCUAGAGUGAUAAAUUGUUACUUCUACCAUUUUGAGUGGAAAAACCUUUUGAUUAUGGGCAUUCAUGCAUGUGAAUUGAAAGCUAGAGUAUUCAAUGAGCACUUGUUAAAAUGUCUAAAACGAAAUCCUUAAUAAAUCAAAACAAAAAGAAUCUUUUCACAGAUAUUAUGCUAUUGCUAUAUGACCUUUUUAUAGAUUAGCUAUACAGUAUGGACUAGAAAACUUAUGACAAAUAAUAUUCCCCAAAAGAAGGGGAAAAAAAAGAUACGAUAAGAAACCAUGGUCGGCAUUGCAUUUUAGUCACUUUUCAGAUUUAAUUUUAUUUCACUUAUAGGAAAAUUGACGCUUGCUGCCUCAAAUAUUUUCAUUUGUUAAUUUAAUGUGAAUAUUUUGAAUUUUUACUUACUACUUGCGUAUGCAAUUUGAUGCAUAUUUGCCUUUAUUGUUGUUUAACGCCAACAAGACAUUGGUGAUUGUAAACAUAAACAUAGCAUUUGUUCGCAAAAUACCAGAAAAUGUAAAAAUGUGGUAGGCCUCGCAUAUGAAUAAUACAUAUUAUAGCCAUUUCAUCAGUUUAGUAUGUAAGAUUAUUAUUUUAGUGUCUAGUCUAUCUUAUCCGAUAGGUACUCAAUUGCUAUGGUCCUAUUCUCCCAUUUUGUACUUAUGCGCUAUGGAAGGGAAAUUUUUAGAUUUCACACUGAAAGUAAAAGAAAAAAUGUUUUAGAUAUUUUGUCUUUACAAAUUCAUUUUUUUUAAUUCAGAUUCCUUUCUAAAUAGACUAUAAGAACCAAAGGAUAAAGGUAAUUCACACCCAAUUUCUCGAAAGAUUAAUUUUUUUUGAAAAAGGAAAAACACUAAUUGGGUUCCCUUACAUAUUUAUUUACAAUUUUUUUGAUUCCAUCAUAAAUUUAUCUUUAUAGUAGCAGUUUCGACUGUUUAGUUCCUCCUACACAAAGUAAUGGAGCCAAAAGUCUUAUAUUUAUCACAAUAAAUUGUUUGUUAAAAUUUAAAUAUGAUCAAAUUUCUAAUUAUUGUAUGUUAGAUGCUUCAUGUAAUGAAAUUAAAGAGUUCGUUCCCAACCACUGCCAUUUUCUAUUUAAUUAUGCCUCCUCCUCCUCCUCCUCUUCUUCUUCUUCUUCUUCUUAAGAAAAAGAGAGAAAGGAAAAAUAAGAAAAAAAGAAAGGAAAAAGAAAAAGACUGAAAGAAUUAAGAAACUAUGAAAGGUUUUCUGAGGUAUAAUUUCAAAGCCUUUUGACAACAAAACUUAGAAACCCUGAGGUUUUAGGAAUAUGAUUUUUUUUCCCCUGUUGACGAGACUGAACCAUAAAUCACCAUGGCAACAUAGGAAGUUACAAAUUACAAUAUAUAUAUAUAUUUGUAAUUGCAACGCAGGAAGUUACAAUAUACAUUUGCUAUUCUAACAAUUAUUUUGGUAAAAAAGAAUAGAAGAAAAAUAAAUGAAAUUGACGGAAAGCGAUUAGUUUCUACAUGCAAACAGUCUACCUUUUCAGUCCUCAGAUGCCAACUUUAUAUUGAAUCAUUGUUGCUGUUCUAAAAAUUAUUCUGAAAGAAAAUCUAGAAGGAAAAAGAAAAAGCAAGAUUGAUAACCAAAAAAAAGAGAUAGUUUGACAGUUAUUUUUGCACUUAAACUCCUAAAAAAAUGUGGAAGGAAAAAAUCGAAAUCCACAAAAGAUUGGCUACUAAACAACCCAACCCCCCCCCCCCCCCCGGCCAAAAAAAAAAAAAAAGCAACACUUUUUUGGUCCCGUAUGCUAACGUGAAAUUACCAUUGCUAUCUUGAAUAACGAAAAGGACAAAAACUAAAGGUUCACAAUUUUUCUAGCUCUGAGCUCAUAGCACUACAAAAAAAAAAAACUUGGUCUGGAAAGACCUAAGUGAUCAUGGUGUCAACUGGUUCAUUAGCAUUCAAUAUGAUUGGGUAAUUUAGUGGCUGAGAUUAAAACUACAAAACUGACUUAGAGGUCUUGAUUUUAAUUUCUUUGUCUCUCCCUAUUUCUUAAAUUCCAUUCUUUUCUUGUUGAAAAAAGCUAAGAAAAAAGGUGAUACUCCUUGGGUUGGUGAUACAGUCAAAAACCAUUGAAGAGACUUUCUAAAAUAUCCUUUUUAAGUAUGACAAGAGAAUACUAAAGGCAUAAUUGAUUUCAGAAUUUUCUGCAUAUUGUUUUGACACUUGCGGGAGAAAUCAGAAAUAUUCCAUCCACUCUGCAAGGUUCCACAUGUGGGGCCAGAGAUUUAAGUGCUGGAAAGGACUUUACAACUGGAGUGAAAAUCUAAGGCUUGUUAUCCUAUGUAGUCAAUCCAUUACAUGACAGUGAAGAAACAGUUAACGCCCAAAUGUUGGGAAUCCAUUGCAAGUUGCUGCGGUGCGACAAUUUGACCUCCAUCAAUUUUUUAAGCCUUAGGAAUGAAUUAUCAAUAUGAGCUUCCAUUCUGAUAAGCAAUGACGGUAACCGAUCUUGCACAAAAUCUAGAAUUGUUAAGUAUUUUAAAUUUGGUUGAGGCUGAGUAACUUUUUAACACAUUCUUGUUAUUCUUAAACCUACUAUCGGAAUUCCAACUUGGACAAAUUUGGAUCUUUAACAAAUCUGCCCCUCUGAGAAGCUUCUUUGCCAUUGAAUCUCUUAAGAUAGCAGAAAAUCAGUCUCCAAGAAAGGUUCUCUAGAUAUCCCAAUUCUUCAAUCUGAGGACAUUGGUCUUGACCUGCAUGAAAGAAUCUUAAUGUUUGAAGACAAGAAAAAUGCCCCAUUUUAGGCAAUGGUGGGAUCUAGAGUUCUCAUGGACAGUAGUGCUUCUUAACUCUCAAAAACUCCCUGUAAAGCUUGCCAACAGAUAUCGGCAAAGUUUUGAUUGCCGUAAUUGAUAGAUCAAGAUAAAAGCAAGUGUAUCGACUUGCUAAUUUAUGUUGGCAACUGAUUAAUAUCUACCUAAGUCAGAAUUAAAAAAAAAAAAAAAGAAGGCAAAAGCUUGCAGGUGAACAUGACAUCAAAUGUAUUAGCCUCCAAAAACAAUAUUAAAAGACUACUUGCCAUUUCCUUCCUGAAAGUGCAUGUGUUUUCUCCAAAUGAUUUAAAUUCAAGGUAACAAAUUUUGCAAAUGUUCUCUGCACCAGAUUUUCCAAAACUCAAAAUAGAUUGUGCAAGAUCAUAUACGUUACAAUGUGUUAAAUUGUAAUACUCAUUGACUUUACAUGUAGCAAUAAUCGUGUAUACUGCAUUGAGGCAUCCUUAACAUAGAACUGAAGCCAGCAUAAUGGUAUAUACUGUAUUGAGGCAUCCAUAACAUAGGCAUAGACAAGUAUUUUCUGAGAAUUUGAGCAAAUUUUGACAACUUAGCAUCCAAUUAGAAUAUGAUCAAUCUCAAAGUAGAGUAUCUGGUAAUGCCAGUACCAUUCAAUGUUGGGGCAGCAGCUCUUGUUACAGCACCUUCCCUUU
rnacentral:lncRNA from 1 species